rnacentral:rRNA from 1 species
CAAUAGCGUAUAUUAAAGUUGUUGCAGUUAAAAAGCUCGUAGUUGGAUUUCUGGCAGGAGCGACCGGUCACACACUCUGUGUGUGAACUUGCGUUGUCUCUGGCCAUCCUUGGGAAGAUCCUGUUUGGCAUUAAGUUGUCGGGCAGGGGAUACCCAUCGUUUACUGUGAAAAAAUUAGAGUGUUUAAAGCAGGCUUAUGCCGUUGAAUAUAUUAGCAUGGAAUAAUAAGAUAGGACUUCGGAACUAUUUUGUUGGUUUGCGUUACGAAGUAAUGAUUAAUAGGGACAGUUGGGGGUAUUCGUAUUUCGUUGUCAGAGGUGAAAUUCUUGGAUUUCCGAAAGACGAACUACUGCGAAAGCAUUUACCAAGGAUGUUUUCAUUA